rnacentral:rRNA from 1 species
UACAGGGGGUGCAAACGUUGCUCGGAAUCAUUGGGCGUAAAGCGCACGUAGGCGGUUCGUUAUGUCGGAUGUGAAAGCCCUUGGCUUAACCGAGGAAGUGCAUCCGAAACUGGCGAGCUAGAGUACUAAAGAGGAUCGCGGAAUUCCCGGUGUAGAGGUGAAAUUCGUAGAUAUCGAGAGGAACACCGGUGGCGAAGGCGGCUCACUGGCCCGGUACUGACGCUGAGGUGCGAAAGCGUGGGGAGCAAACAGG